rnacentral:rRNA from 1 species
AUUGAACGCUGGCGGCAGGCCUAACACAUGCAAGUCGAGCGGAUGAAGGGAGCUUGCUCCUGGAUUCAGCGGCGGACGGGUGAGUAAUGCCUAGGAAUCUGCCUGGUAGUUGGGGAUAACGUCCGGAAACGGGCGCUAAUACCUCAUACGUCCUGAGGGAGAAAGUGGGGGAUCUUCGGACCUCACGCCAUCAGAUGAGCCUAGGUCGGAUUAGCUAGUUGGUGGGGUAAAGGCCUACCAAGGCGACGAUCCGUAACUGGUCUGAGAGGAUGAUCAGUCACACUGGAACUGAGACACGGUCCAGACUCCUACGGGAGGCAGCAGUGGGGAAUAUUGGACCAUGGGCGAAAGCCUGAUCCAGCCAUGCCGCGUGUGUGAAGAAGGUUUUCGGAUUGUAAAACCCUUUAAGUUGGGAGGAAGGGCAGUAAGUUAAUACCUUGCUGUUUUGACGUUACCAACAGAAUAAGCACCGGCUAACUUCGUG